AGAAGAAUCAGCUCCAACAAAUGACUCUCCCGUAGAUGGCAAUUAUCAGCCUGGACAAGAUAGAAAAGCAGCUACCUGAGGACUCUGGAAGAGGGGACAGCAGGCAGAUCCUGAGGGCAGCUUAGACUUAGAGGCAUGGCCGGCACACAGUGUGUCUCUUGUUUGCACGUCUUUCCUCUGAGGGCUGCACAGUCACUGCAGGGGUGGUGUGGUGGCUAAAACUCUGGGUGGAAAGACCGUGCGAUUCCUCGUUAGACUAAUGGGGAGGAGCUGGUAUCCACAGCUGCUGGGGAGAAAUCCUGGAACGGGGAAUUCUGCGAAUAAACUCUGCUCAGAUUUCUGUCCAAGGCCUUGAACCGUGCACACACACAGGGCAUGGGGAGAAGCCACCUGGAGUGAGAGCGAGGCCACCCGCUUCCCACAAAAUCAACAGCACACAGUUUGCAGUUUGAAUCUAAUGAGAUUAAUCGCCUGCUAAAGCAAAACCAUAAACUCUCUUCAGAGCAAUAUAAUGGAAUUCAGAGUCUCUACAACAUAACAUUUGCAAUAUACAUGUUACAAUCUGAAAGUACUCAACAUACAAAGAGCCAGGGGGAUGUGAACCAUCCUCAGGGAAAAGACAGUCAACAGACGCCAAUCGUGUUAUGACCCAGAUGUUGGAUAGUCAAACAAGCACCUCACAGCUGGCUUAGUAACUGUGUUCAGUGAGGUAAAGGAAAAUACACUCAUAAUGAACAAAAACAUAGGAAAUCUCGGUAGAGGAGUAGAAAAUAUUUUUCAAAACAAGACAGUUGGAAACUUUAGAACUGGAAAAUAAACACCUGAAAUAAAAAAUUCACUGAAUGGGCAUAAUAGAAUGGAAAUGACAGGAAGUAGUCAGACUUCAAAGACAAAUCAGUAGAAAUCAUCUGGUCUGAAGAAAAACUGGGGAAAUGAUUGAGGGAAAAGCACGAAGAGCCUUAGGGACUCAUGGGGCAGUGUCAAGUGUCUCACGCAGCGUAACUAUGGAGCCCAGAGGGGAGGCGAGAGGACACAGUGGGGCAGGAGAAGUACUUGAAGAACAGUGAUCAGACUCUUUCCAAAUAUGGUGAAAAACGUAAAUGUAGAGAUUUCAGAAGCUCAGUGAGUCCCAAACAGGAUGAAUAUGACUAAAACCAUACCUAGGCACAUCAUUUUCAAAUUACUGAAAACUUUAAGAUUAACUUUAAAAAUCUUGACGGCAGCCAGAGAAAAACAAGACUACAUACACACAGCAUCGCAAAGACUAGGAACUUAUCAUCAGAAGGCAAGUGGAGCUGCAAUCUAUAAAGUUCUGGAAGAAAGAUAGUCAACCCUCCAGGAGUGUGUGUUAAAUACAGAUGUUUUCAGAAGAAGGAAAACUGAUGGAAUUUGUUGCCAUCAUCUGUGUACUGCCAGACAUGCUAAAGAAAGUCUUUCCAGGCUGAAGGAAAAUGAUACCAGAGUGAAACUCAGGUCUUUAUGAGUGAGUGAUGAGCAUCAAAAAGGGUAAAUAUCUGGGGGGAAUGUUUUCUUUAAAAUACGUAUUUAAAGAAAAAAUCAGAACAUGUCUUGGGUUUGUAAUGCAUACAGAUGAAAUACGUAUGAUAACUGUAGCAUAAGGAGCAGUGAAGGGGAUCUGUGGACCCGCAGGUUCUGCCUUUACAUGAAGUGCUGCAGUAUUGAUUCUAAGUAAGCUGUGAAACAGUGGGGAUGUGUGUUGCAGUCCUAGAGCAAUAGCCAUAAAAAUAAUACAGAGACUCAUAACUGAAGAACCAAAAGAUAAAUUGACAGGGGAUUUUUAAAAAUAUUCAAAUAAUAUAAGAGAAAACAGGAAAGAGAGAACAGAGAAAUAAAACACCAGAGAGACAGCAGAAAACAAAUAAUAAAUGGUAGCCUUAAAUCCAACCAUAGCGUCAUUAUACAUUUGCCAAUGCCCAGCAUCAGGAGUGAGCCUGAUGUAAAUAUGGACUUGAGGCAACAAUGAUGUGUCAGUGUAGGUUCAUCAGAGUACCUAUCUGGGGCAGGAUGUUGCCAGUGGGGGAGGCCUCUGCUUGUGUGGGGGCAGGGGGGUGUAUGGGAAUUCUCUUACUUCCUGCUCAGUUUAGCUGUGAACCCAAAACUGCUCUAAAAAAUUAAGUCUUCUAUGUAUU
ensembl:lncRNA